rnacentral:rRNA from 1 species
AGUCACUGACAUUAGAUACCCGCGUAGUCCAGGGUGUAAACGCUGCAGACUUGGUGUUGGAAGUCCUUUGGGGCAUUCAGUGCCGGAGAGAAGUUGUUAAGUCUGCUACUUGGGAGUACGUCCGCAAGGAUGAAACUUAAAGGAAUUGGCGGGGAGCACCACAACGGGUGGAGCCUGCGGUUUAAUUGGACUCAACGCCGGAAAUCUCACCGGAUAGGACAGGCAUAUGAUAGUCGGGCUGAAGACUCUACUUGAUGAUCUG